CAACGCCAGAGCCAUAUAGAGUGAGAGUUGCGACAACUCCAUUGACUCCAAUGGAACGCUUUUUUUACAGCAAUGGCGGCUCGUGGAGCCUCUCAAUAGUUCCCGGAAGUAGCGGCAAACCGAUGCCGCGCCGUAGAAGAUGCAGCAGAACAAACCGUUUGCGACGCACUUUUAACAGGUGGAGGAUUAGUGGUGCCACUGAAGUGUUCUGUGAUGGAGCAUCAGUGAGGAUGCAGACCCUGGUAACUGGCUGAUGGUUCACAGGAAUGAUGACUGGCUGCUGACUGACUUGCUGCUGGUUGACUGGGCAGUGUCACCUGUCCCUGUCUCUCCUCUCUAGCCAUGUCCUUUUUCUUCACUCUCACUUUCCUUUCUCUGAGUGUCCUCGUUCUUUUUUCCUCAACCUUUGAAACUGAUAGAGAUAGAAUACAUGGUUUUGCUAAUUUUAAAUAUUGAAAAUAUCACAUCACUUUACUUCAACUAGUACGAGUUUGUACUUAUUAUAUAUGAAUCACCUGAAAUAACAUAGCUGUAAUCAGCAGCCAUUUCUUGUAUGUUCACAGGUCUAGGGGUGCAUCGUGGAGCAGGGCCCUCCUCUUUUUGACCACAGGACGGUGUACAAAGAUUGUGGGAAUAGCAUCUGGUCUCAGCCUACUCUUGAAUUUUUUGGUCAUGACAAAUUGCAUUGCUGCAAUUUGUCUGCAUACUGACUUCAGUUUAGUUUCCACACACACCUUUUUUUUUGUCUACCCACUUACAGUACAUAUCACAUGGUGGUUAAAUGCACAGUUAUAGGUAACACUGAUGACUCCCUGCAAUGUCUCACCAUGAGUCUCAGCUCCCUGGGUUUUGCAAGGCUUUGCUUGUUCCUUAUUUCUAGUAAAACAUUGUCAAUGUAAAAAGUGCAAAUAAAUGUAAGUAUAAUUACCUAACAAUUUUUUGUUGUUGUAAUUUUUAUUUGUAUUUAGAUUGCUCCUGCUGACUUGAGCCAACCAUUAUUUUCUCCUCUCUAUGUCAGCGGGGAAGCCAUACAUUCGCACACCUUUCUCUGACUGAGUGGAGCAUCCCCAUGCAGCCCAGUAAACCAUGGUGGAGACUAUGCAAGGACAACAUGAAAGAAAGGACACAUACAAAAUGCUUGUCAUGCUAUUAAAUUUAUUAGAAAUGUAUUCAUGAAUUGCUGUAAAUAGUUAAUUGUAUAAUUACAAUUUAAAAUAACUGUUUUCUAUUUUAAAAUGGAAUAUACUCCUGUGAUGCCAACCUGAAUUUUCAGCAUCAUUUUGAAUGGCAGUGUACAUGUUUAUAUACGAGCAUGCUUAAGUUGUUUUAAACCUGAAUAUAUUGUGUACAUGAAUAAGUAUUGUAAGAAUUAUACUAGAUAUAGUAGGUAUAUUAUUUAUAAUACAUAAUUAUAUUACUAUAUGUAAUUGUAAGAAUUAUAAACAGUAAGCUUCAUUUUACAUUUAUUUAACAUGCUAAUUACUGCUGGUAACAGUUAAUUGACCCAUAGUGCGGUGCGAGCUGAAAAUCACCUGUUACCAGCCUGUCUCUGUACUACCUGAAAGUCAUCGAUAUGACAUGAGUUAACAUUAGAUCAGUGAAAAAAUGGACAAUAUGUAACGUAAAAAGGCAACAGCAACCCGUGUUUAUAAAACUUAACGUUAGCCUGAAAUAUGUUUUUAAAAUAACGGUAAUUGAACACUAAUCCUCAAAUAUUACCCGAUUUGAUAUUUUAAAAACAACAUCGCUGUAACUACAUACUCAUGCUACAUACAUAUGUCAGUGUGUUGUAUAAACAUAUAAAAUAAAUGCAUUUAUUGACUCCUUAUUACCAGAAA